AAAGAGCUCCAUGUGCUCAACUUGUCCAACAAUGCUUUCACCGGCCUCAUUCCUUCAUCUAUGGGAAACCUGACGGCUCUUGAGUCACUGGACCUUUCCCAAAACCAGCUUUCAGGAGAAAUUCCUCAAGAGCUAGAGGAACUCUCCUUCCUUUCCUACAUGAACUUCUCUCACAACCAGCUUGUCGGUCUAGUACCAGGCGGCACUCAGUUUCGAAGGCAGAACUGCACUUCCUUUGACGGUAAUCCGGGACUUUCUGGCCCUUCUCUUGACGAAAUUUGCAGAAAUAUUCACAUGUCAACACCGCAUGAAACGUUGGAGUCAGAGGAAGAAGAAGAGGUGCUGAGUUGGAUAGCAGUUGUAAUAGGCGUCAUACCUGGUUUUGCCUUUGGAUGGGUGAUUGGUUACAUACUUUUUUCCUACAAACCAGAGUGGUUCAUGAACCCUUUUGUCCGAAGCAAACCCAGACGAAGCAGCAACACAACUCAUUAAAGAGGUAAUAUUCUAGAGUUUUAAGUCAACUUGUUAGCAAACAUUUGAAGAAACAAAAAUAUUAUAGUCAAAUCUCCUGAAUAAACGUCCUUGUUUUGUUUGUAUAGGUCUUUUAUAACCUACCUGAAGAAUCUGAAAGAAGAAAAUUCAAAGCAACCACUAUGUUUAUCUGUAUCAAUUAAGAUUUGGGGUAUCAUCUCCAGUUUAGCUUGGUGUUUUUCUCAUUACUCUGUUUUUACUUUUUUACAAGCAAACUUCUUUGUUUCUCUGUUAUUGUUUUCGGUUUAAGUUGGUGUGUAUUUUCUCUACUUCUCUGUUUCUCUGUAAUUGAACAACUAUGUUUAUUAAGCUGAAAAUUACAAGCACAGUCAAAGAUGUGUAUUUUCAGCUCUUAUGUAUCUAAACAUUGUUGCAUCUGUGUGUCUUAAAUCUCUGUGUACCAGUAAAAGCCCAGCACUCGUGGGUAGGAUGAAGGAUAAAUGAAAUCGGAUUUUAAGGCUGAUAUAAAUAUGGGUCUAAGAGUUUGUAAGAUUAUUCAUUCACACAAUAAUAAGAAACACUAAACGGAUAUUUGCCUCAAUACAUUUUAUUCUCUAUUGUCUUCUUGCUUAAUUCGUGACUGUUCACACAAACAUCAACUGUAUAGACGUGAGAUGAGCAAUAAACAGAUGAUCCAGAUCAACGCUGCGAUGAGAUGCUUGCCACUAAGGUGUCUGCUCAAAUGUAUGCAGAGGGUUUGGCAGAGAUUGCUACUUUUCUAGGUUUUUAUGGAUGGCUGGUGAGUUUUGUGAUUAUGGUUGAUGUUUGUUUUCAUUGUCUCAUUUCAUUAAUCUAUAUAUGAUAGGUUAAUAUUGCAGUGUAUAUGAUAGAGAAACAAUGUAUCAGCUGCUAUUUUCGCUCCCGGAUGGGUAUAUGAGACUGCUCAACCACCUAAUUUUCAUACAGCUCAGAAUAAGUAAUACUCUUUUUUGCCUGUUUCAUUGUAAAAAAAUUGUCAUCUCUUUGUUAUUAACGUUCAUGCGUUUUUUCUUCGGAUGGUGGUCACUUGUAGAGAAGUCAUGGGGAAUAGUCCAAACAUAUCCACAAGUCUUGCCUUUCUACUCAGAUUUCAAUCAAGUUAACUGAGAUUGAUUUUGUCUUUCUUCCUAUCUUGUUACAAUAACACAAGUGUACCUAUGAUUUCUGUUCAGUUAUGCUCUGAAGAUCUCUUUUCUUGAGGGUCGCCAGAUAUCUUAUGCUCCAUGGUACAACAUAUCUUGCCAAAGUCUCCAGGUUCAACCCUCUUAUAGUCAUUCAUUGUACAUAUAAUAUUAUCUUCUCAUCUGAUUGUUGUCUUUGUUGUGUUAUUCACGUCAGCCACUCCUAGAGUUCAAGGAAGACAACACUGAUAUCAUUCAGGUCACUGUUGAGUGAGUUCUGGCCCUGAAACUAAAAAAUGUUUUUAACUUCUUGUUGAUUAAGAUACAUUUAUUCGCAAAUGUAUAACGGCAAGCACAUGACUUUGUUUAGUGCUGGAGAGGCAUCUUAUAACGGAGGAGGGAAUAUUGUAUUUAACGGAAGACUCGACGGAGAUGUGAAUUUCACAGCGAGGCUCUUUAAACCUCUUCUUCACCUUUCUUCUUCCCCCAUCACAGUCUCCUACUCCGUAAGUCCCUCUACUUUUAGAUACAUCACAUUAUUUGAUCUUCUUGUUUCUCUACUAACGGAGGAUCUCGGAUUUGGUGCAGGUGAAAUCAGAUGAGACUUCUAAACUUGGACUCCUGCUUAGUCCACAAGAACUAAUCCCUAGAUUCAGGUAGAUCACAUGUUCUUCAAGAUUAAUUUCACAUCCUUUCGGUCAAGAUCCAUUUGCACUUUUUCGUUUAUGAUCAUUGGUCACGACCGUUUUGUAUAUUUUCGGUCAAAAUACAUUCACAUCAUUUCAGUCACAAAACGUUUAUACUCCUUGGAUCGUGAUGUGUUUGUACCUCUUGGAUCACAACACGUUCAUACCUCUUAGAUUAUAAUGCGUUCAUAUCUCUUAAAUCACAACACAUUUGUACCUCUUCGUUUAUGACACCACGUAAAUAUUUAUCAUUUUUUAAUCAUUGUUAAUAUGAAAAUUGUGUCUCUUAAAAGCUUUUUAUGAAAAGUUAUUUUUAUUAGUAUUGAAAUGAAAUUUAUGUCUUUUUGUUUUACUUUAUUCAUAUAUAUGAAUAGUCACAUCUUUCAAUUUAAAGGUGGUUAUUUUGAAAUGAUACUUAUAUGAACAGUAACAACUUUUUAAUUUAAAUAGUCACAUCUUUUCAAAUUUAAAUUUAAUUAUUUUGAAAUUAUAGAAAUAUGAAUAGUCACAACUUUUCAUUAAAAUAAUUACAUAUUUUACAAUUAAAUUAUAACUAAUGCACAACUCUUGAAAUAAAUAAAGAAAAGACACAACUUUAACAAGAAAUAAAAUUCCUAUAAAAAUACACAACUUUUCAACAUUGUUUGGAUUUUUCAUGUAAAACAUUUAAGAGAUGCAACUUUAUGCAUAAAACUUAAGAGAUUCAAAUUUUCAUAUUAAUCAAUACACUGAUUUUUAGAAAUAAAACAAUUGCAAAUAUUUAUAAAAUAUUAAUAAAUAGAUAUGAGCAAAAUAAAAAUGAAAAGACAUAAUUUUUCAUCUCAAUACUAAUAAAUACAACUUUUCAUAUAAAAAAUUAAAAGAUGCAACUUUCAUAUAGAUGAAUAGUCAAAUUUUUUCCAGUUUAAAGGUGAUUAUUCUGAAAUGAUACUUAUAUGAAUAGUCAUAAUUUUUCAAUUUAAAUAGUCACAUCUUUUCAAUUUAAAGAUAGUUAUUUUGAAAUAAUACAUAUAUGAAUAGUCACAAUUUUUCAUUUAAAUAAUUACAUCUUUUUAAUUUAAAUACUAAGUAAUACACAACUCUUGAAACCAAAGGACAUAUCUUAAUAUAUAAUGAAAAGACACAAUUUUUAACAAGAAAUAAAAUUCCUAUAAAACACAUCACUUUUCAAUAUGGUUUAGGAUUGCUAUUAUUAGUAGAUUGUUUUUUUUUCUUCACCAUUUUAUUUGAUUAGUGAAAAUUAUGCUUUGAGAAGGCAUGGACAUUGGACUAUUUGUAGAUUUUCAAAAAUUUGUUUGAAGAGUCACAUCUUUUGAAUUAAAAGGUUGUGUCUUUUUGUAAUAAUAAUUAUAUGAAGAGUCACAACUUUUCAAUAUAAAUGGUCACAUUCUUUCAAUAUAAAUAGUUAUUUUAAAAUAAAAAACACAAUUUUUAAUUGUUGAAAAGACACAAUCUUUCAACAUAAGUGGAAUUCACAACUUUUUGAAUUAAUUGAGAUUGCUAUUAUUAGUAGAUAUGGCUCGAUCAUGAGUACAUUUAAUUCACGAAGAAGAGUUGAUUCUUGUGUCAUGACGAAUAUUCUCACAAUUAUAUGACUUCAAGCAAGUUGAUAGUUUUGUUCAUUUUGAUUGAUUCUUAGUAAGAGUUUAUUCUUUUUGUCAUUUUGUACAUAUUUCUCAUUUUGGAAAUCAUGAGGAAUAAACCGAAAUAAAAAUAAGACCGUUCGCCGUUGAGUUUUCUUGAAAAGGUUGAUGUUUGUUUUCUUCUUAUUAAAUAUAAGAGAUUCAUUCUUAUUUUGAAAUUCUAUCAAAAUUAAACUAGUUUAGCAGUUAAAUUAGUUAUUUUUUCAAAGCAAGGAAUGUCAGAACUUUUAAAUAAUAAGUAAAAAAGAUAAAACAUUUACUAUCAAAUCGAAAGACUACAAUAUAUGCAAAUAUGCAUGGGUCUCGUAAUCGUAAACGUUAGUACUUUCGCGUCAAUAUGCGUGGGUCGUUACUAUAUGCAAUAUGCAUGGGUCGUUAGUAUACGUUAGUUUUUUUUUUGUAACAUAAAAACAUUAGUAUACGUUAGUUUAAAUCCAAAUAUAAACCUAAGCAAAAUAAGACUUCAUGAGUUACGUCUUCUUUGGUUUUGACAAUUUUUUUUUUUUUUUUGAAAAUUCAUGUAAUUAGUGUAGGGGACCAAUAUGUGUAGAAAAUUGACUAUCCGACACAAAGAUUUUGCUUUCGACGUGACGAAUAAUGUAUUUUUCUCUGUGGAUUUUCUCUUGUGUGGAGUAAAUACAGAGUCUAUUAUUGUGUAUAUAAAGAAAUGGCCAUGGAAGCAUGUUACUCAUCACCAAUUUCCCUUUUCUUUUUGCUCUUUCAGUUUUUGAUAUUCAAGAAAGUUAAAUAAGCUUAAAGAAGAAUGAAAGGGUUUUGGAACUUAACGAGUACCAUCUCUCUUAUUCUUUCUAUACUUUUUUUAUUCGGCUACAGUUAUGAGGACGUGUCUGCGGUUCCAACUAAGCACUUGUGUCGUCCAGAUCAAAGGGAUGCACUUCUUCAGUUCAAGAACGAGUUUGAGGUUCUAAACUCUUCCUUUACUUAUUAUAAUUGUAUUGAUCGUGGUAUUACGCCUCAUCGGAAGACAGAGUCAUGGGUGAAUAACAGCGACUGCUGUAAUUGGGAGGGUAUCACGUGCAACGUCAAGUCCGGUGAAGUGAUUGAGCUAGAUCUCAGUUGCAGCUACCUAGGUGGCAGGUUUCAUUCCAAUAGCAGUCUUCGAAAACUUCAUUCUCUAACCACUCUAGACCUUUCAGUUAAUGAAUUUAGUGGUCAAAUCAUGUCUUCAGUUGGAAACCUUUCUCAUAUCACCUCUCUCGACCUUUCACUUAAUCAGUUCAGCGAGUUCAUUCUUUCUUCGAUAGUAGACCUUUCUUAUCUCACUUUUCUCGAUCUUUCAUUUAAUAGUUUAUCGGGUGAGAUUCCAUCUUCGAUUGGAAAUCUUUCUCAUCUCACCUAUCUUAACCUUAAUUUGAAUCAAAUUUCGGGUAAGAUUCCAUUUUCUUUUGGAAAUCUUUAUAACCUCACUUAUCUUGACCUUUCUGGGAACAAUAUUGUUGGAGAAAUCCCAUCUUCUUUUGGAAACCUAAACCAGUUGACCACCUUAGAUGUUAGUCUCAAUAAGCUCAAUGGAAGCUUUUCCAUUGCACUACUGAAUUUGACAAAGUUGUCAUCUUUAAAACUCUAUGACAAUCAGUUCACAGGAACAAUUCCUCAUAACAUCACUUCACUAUCCAAAUUGACGACCUUUUAUGCAAGUAACAACGCUUUCACUGGAACCCUGCCUUCUUCUCUCUUCACCAUUCCUUCUAUUGAAGAUGUUAGAUUGUCUGAUAACCGAUUGACGAACUUGACCUUUCCCAUUACAAGACACAAGGUCCAGUUGACUUUAGCAUCUUCUCAUAUCUCAAGUGGCUAUAUAUUCUUGACCUAUCCUAUUUGAACACAACCACUGCCAUUGACUUGAAUGAUUUCUUGUCAUAUUUUAAGAGUCUCGGUGUGUUGGAUCUCUCAGGCAACCAUGUUUCAGCCACAAACAAGAGUACAAUUUCAGAUCCUUCUUCUUUGUAUCAGUUGCACUUGUCAGGCUGCGGUAUCACCGAGCUCCCGGAGUUUGUAAGAUUGCAAAAUAUGGAGAAGGUAGACAUUUCUAACAAUAAAAUCAAAGGAAAAGUGCCUGGCUGGUUAUGGAAGCUACCAAAUCUGUCUUACCUCGAUAUUUCCACCAACAAUUUCACCGGCUUCGAAAAUGCAACUAAACAUGGGCUAUCUUUAAUGACCUUGUUAGCCUCCAACAACAAUUUCAGUGGAAAGAUUCCCUCUUUCAUAUGUGAUUUGGGCUCUGUAGAAACUCUUGAUUUAUCAAACAACAACUUCAAUGGUUCAAUCCCUCGUUGUCUGGGUAAUCUCAACUAUACUCUUACAGAUCUAAACCUUGGUAAAAAUCGUCUCCAUGGAGGUCUUCCAGGGAAUAUAUUUGAAAGCUUAAGAGCGCUUGACGUCGGUCAUAACCAACUUACGGGAAAACUUCCAAUGUCUUUGAUCAAUUUCUCUAGUCUUGAAGUUCUGAACGUGGAAAGCAACAUUAUCAAUGAUACGUUUCCAAUCUGGUUGAGUUCUCUACCAGAGCUCAAUAUUCUUGUAUUACGCUCCAAUGCCUUCCACGGACCGAUACAUCAAACUUCCUUCCCUAAGUUGAAAAUCAUCGACAUAUCACACAAUCACUUCAAUGGAGCUUUGCCAUCAGACUUCUUUGUGAAGUGGAGUGCUAUGUCAUCACUUGGGACAGUUUAUGAUCAGCCGGAUGAAAUGUACAUGGGAUAUUACUAUUACCAUGAUUCAAUGGUGUUGAUGAAUAAAGGUUUAGGGAUGGAAUUUCAACGUAUCCUAAAAACUUUGAGAGCACUCGACUUUUCAGGAAACAAAUUUGAAGGAGAGAUCCCAAGGUCUAUCGGUCUAUUAAAAGAGCUUCUUAUGCUUAACUUGUCGAAUAAUGCUUUCACUGGCCACAUCCCUUCAUCUAUGGGAAACCUGACAGCUCUUGAGUCACUGGACGUUUCCCAAAACCAGCUUUCAGGAGAAAUUCCGCAAGAGCUAGGGAGUCUCUCAUUCCUUUCGUACAUGAACUUCUCGCAUAACCAGCUUACAGGUCUAGUACCAGGAGGCACUCAGUUUCAAAGGCUGAACUGCACUUCCUUUGAGGAUAAUCCGGGACUUUCUGGCCCUUCUCUUGACGAAAUUUGCAGAGAUAUUCACACGCCAACACCGCAUGAAACGUUGGAGUCAGAGGAAGAAGAAGAAGAGGAAGAGGUGUUGAGUUGGAUAGCAGCUGUAAUAGGAGUCAUACCUGGUAUUGCCUUUGGAUGGGCGAUUGGAUACAUACUUUUUUCGUACAAACCAGAGUGGUUCAUCAACCCUUUUGCCCGAAACAAGUGCAGAAUCAGCAGCACCACAACUCAUUAAAAAGGUAAUUUUCAAGAGUUUUAAAUCAACUUGUUAGAAAACACUGGAAGAAACAAAAAUAUUAAUAGUGAAAUCACCUGAGUUAACCUUUUCUUUUUUUGGUACAGGUCUUUUAUAAGCUACCUGAGGAAUCUGGAAGAAGAAAUCCAAAGGACCACUAUGUCUAUCCGUAUCAAAUAAGAUUUGGGAUAUCGUUUCUGGUUUAGCUUGGUGUGUUUUUUCUCUAUCUCUAUUUUUUUACGUUUUAGCAAACUUCUUUGUUUCUCUGUAAUUGAACAACAACUAUGCUUCUUACGCUGAAAAUUACAAGCACAGUCAAAGAUGUAUCGUUUUUCCCCCUCUUGUGAAUCUUAACAUCAACUGUUUAGACGUUAGAUGAGCAAUGAACAGAUGAUCCAGAUAAAAGCUAUAAUCAACACAGGGCUUUAGAAAAGGAUGUACAUAUUAUAUAUGGAUAUUUCGAUUGUUCAUAUCAAUGAGACACAUUAAUUCAUAGAAACUAUAGACUUUGCAAAUAUAAUUAUCAAGAUUCCAUUUUGUGUAUAUACGAAGUUCAAAAGGUUUUAAGCUUAUGAUUUUCGAAUGUGACAAUACAAAAUAAUAAAAAAAGUUUGCGUUGAUUUAUCUUGUGAUUGGUAAUAUUCUCAUUGAUAAUGAAUGAUGAGUAGAAGAGGAAGAGAAAUGGCUAGUAAAGGCCUAAAGGGGUCUUGUUUUCUCCAUGUCCACACUCUCUUGUUUCUAAUUCAACCUUUGAUUGUUUGAUUAAAUAUUUAUAAUCUAAAUUAACAAUAACCAAAUAUAUAUAUACUCAUUUAAAAUUGGGAAAAUUGCUAAAAGAGAACAAAAAAACAAGGUUGUUGUCCCUUUAGUAUAAAACCAACAUAAAGUUGUCUCAAUAGUAUAAUUUUUCUCAUAAUCCCAAAACUAACCCUAUAUUUAAUCUAAUUAAACACAAUUUAAAAGUUAAUUUGAAUUUUAAAAAAAAAGUUAAUGGAAAAAAGGUAAAAAACAGUAGAAAGGCAAUCGAAAAAAAAAAGAGGUAUAGAUAUGCAUCAUAGAGAACAAGAGUUUGUGAGAAGAAUCAAAAGAAAAACUAUGGAAAAACCAUAGAUUGAUGAAGAAGAGAAGGAAUAAUCGUUUUUUUUUAAAUUUUUUAAGUAAAAUCGACCAUAACACGUUUUAGAAAGUUAAAAUAUUUCUAAGAGAUUUUUAGAAUAUUUUCUUAACUGAAAUUUCAUUAAUUUUCGCAAAAAAUCAAGUAUUCUUAUCCGUAGAAGGCGACUUCUAAAAGUUUAGAAGAAUGAUAAAAAUUCUGAAUACACUUUCUACUUUGAGUAGACGUAAGAUUACAUUGUAGAAAACACAUUCCUCGAAAUUUAGAAUACUUUAUAAAAGUAGAAGAUGCAUUCGGAAGGAAAGUGGAUACCUUUACGAUUAGUAGAAUGUGCAUUCCUCUUUUUUAGAAAUUUAGUAAAUAGUAAAAUGAACGUUCUAAAAGAAGUAGAUGAACGUGUUUAUUUUAGAAAUCGUUUUCUACUAUACCAUUUUUCAUAGAAGACGCAUUCUACUUUUAGUAGAACGUAUUUUAAAAAUCUUAUUUACCAAAUUUUUGAGCAAAAGAAAAUUACCAGCUUGUGUAUAUGGAUGUUUUAUUAAUUUUUUAUAUUUUUAAUAAUUUUUUUGAUUCAUAAAAUUAUUUAUUUCAUUAGUUUUCAGAAAUACAAAGGGUAAAAAGGAGAAAAACUAGACAAAAUUAGUUUUAUACUAAAAGGACAACAACCUAAUUUUUUUGUUCUCUUUUGGCAAUUUUCCCUUUAAAAUUUGGGUUUAACGAUCAUUAUCCAUUUGAUAAGAAAAUUCCUCUUGGAUCUUUCUUUUUAUAUUUUUCCUGACUGACUUUUUAAUCGAAUCCAAGUCUUGCUUCUCUUUGUUUUGGUGUCCACGAUCUCAAAAAAGAAACAGCCAACUGAUUGGUCACUUUCACAAUCCCUCUGGUACGUUAUCCUUUGAUUUUUCAACAUUAUACUUAAAGCUCAAUACCAAAAUCUCAAAGAUAAGCCACUACAUGAUCAUGAUGUGUGUGACCUACGAGCUUGGACUCGAACCCACGAGCCAAUCAUGUAACUAGCAAUGAAAAGAUCAAGCCAACACAAAUGAUGAAUAGGCCCAUGCCUUGCCCCCAUUCUGUUCCCUUCUUAAUUAAUCUACAAAAACAAAAUCUUCUUCAGAAGAAGAUGCGUGAGCUUCAACACGAUAAAGAUUGAUGCAAAGUCAUAUAAGCAAACAGCCAAAUCAAUAGCUUGGUGGGUUUGGUCUUCCAAAAGUAAAUUAUGGAAGAACAUGAAUGUCUCUGAUGUACAUUGUCCUGGAAAGAGAACUCUGAGACCUGAUUACGCAAAAGACUAAUUGCUGAUAACAAAAAAAGGAGAAAAGAACGCUAUUUGAAACUGCAGGCAUUGAUACAGAAACUAUCAUACAUUAAACACUUGACAAAAGUACAUGUUGAUAUGUCUGUCAGAUUACUACAAGAGUUUCUUUCACCAAUCUGCUUUGCUACCAAUGUACCCUAAAUAAGAUAAGUAAACACAAAAAAAAAAGCAUUACUCUAACUUGAAACCUAGUGAGUAAGAAUAAUAACAGUUUCUCCAAUCUCCAUGAGCUGAGCUCUCAGAUCCAACCAUUGCUCUACCAGAGUAUAGCUUCUCCACAAAACUAAUCUCUACAACUUCUUCCCUGUACAACAACAGCACAAUUCAAGUUUUCAGUAACUCAAUUGAGUAGAUGCUCAAAGUUAUGGUUCCAAAUCAACAAUCUCAAGCCUCACAAGCUUAAAGAUUCAUCUUUACAAGCACAUAAAAAUGAAAACUUUCCUUUCUGCCUUCAACUUAGCCACAUCGUUUAUCAACCUGCCUUUAACUAGACAAGUCGAAAAUAUAACCCUCUGAGCAAUCUAGAAGGUUACGUAUGACGUCCUAUGUUCUGAGCCAAUUCGAAUCUUCGAGCCCUACAUCUUCAAUUCCGUCAAGUUUACGCUAGAUUGCUCUCCAGAGCCUCCUGGUACCACCAUUGUAGUAAUCGAAGUUGCGAGAGCAAAAGCCUUCUCAUGCCUACACUAAAGGUGAUGUAUUGCUCUAUUCAGGGUUGGCUCCUUUAUUCAGAGAAUAUAAAUAUUUUUAAAAUAAAUCUUGAUAAAAUAAUACAAAGCUCUUUUAAAUUUGGAAUAGGGCUAAUAGUAACAAUUCGCUUGCUAUGUUUCAGUUGAGUUUGUUGUUUUCUUGAAGCUGUUUCUGUCCUUUGUAUACUUGUGUGCGAUCUUGUUUGAUAAGUUUAUAGAGUUGGACAUGAAUGUAAUGAUGCUCUUGUAGGCUAAAUCAUCAAGCGUUGAAGCAUCUUUGAAGUAUAAGAAUAUUUUUUGGAUAUGGGACGGUUCUAUAUAGUUUAUGGCUGUGAGGAUUGUAUUUGCCGAAGUUCAAAAGACUUCCCACUCCUUUUAGUUCCCGUCUUUACUUUUCGACUCAAGACUGGCUUACGUUUUCUUCUUGCAAAGAAGGUUCUCUCAGACUUUUCUCUUGGUCUUCUCUCAAGCAAGUACACGAGCUGGUCUACACGGUAAGCUGGUAGUCUGAUAGACCUGUAUCAAUCAAUGAGGAGGCAACUGGGACAUAGUCUGCUUUCUGCAUUCAAGCAUACUAUUAAAUAUGACGAGAGAAAUAUCCACACAUGAACUUAAUAUCGAUUAGGAAAAUCAUUUUAGUGGUCAAGAACGAGUUUGAGGUUCUAGACUCUUCCUUUGCUUAUGAUUGUUAUUUUGAUAUAGUAAAGCUUCAUCCGAAAACGGAGUCAUGGGCGAAUAACAGCGACUGUUGUACUUGGGAGGGUAUCAAGUGCAACGUCAAGUCCGGUGAAGUGAUCGAGCUAGACCUUAGUUGCAGCUACCUAGGUGGCCGGUUUCAUUCCAAUAGCAGUCUUCAAAACCUUCAUUCUCUCACCACCCUAGACCUUUCAGGAAAUCGUUUUAGUGGUCAAAUCAUGUCUUCAAUUAAAAACCUUUCUCAUAUCACCUCUCUGGACCUUUCACUUAAUCAGUUCAGCGAGAACAUUCCUUCUUCGAUAGUAGACCUUUCGUAUCUCACCUAUCUCGAUCUUACAUAUAAUCGUUUUCCUGGUCAGAUUCCAUCUUCUAUUGGAAAUCUUUAUAACCUCACUUAUCUUGACCUUUUUGGGAACGAUAUUGUUGGCGAAAUCCCAUCUUCUUUUGGCAAUCUAAACCAGUUGACCAGCUUAAAUGUUUACUACAAUAAUCUCAAUGGAAGCUUUCCCAUUGCACUACUGAAUAUGAAAGAGUUGUCAUCUUUAAUGCUCAACGGCAAUGAGUUCACAGGCACAAUUCCUCCUAACAUCACUUCACUAUCCAAAUUGACGAAUUUUAUAGCAAGUUACAACGCUUUCACUGGGACCCUGCCUUCUUCUCUCUUCACCAUUCCUUCUAUGGAUCGUGUUGAUAUGUCUGAUAGCCAACUCAACGGUAUUCUUGAGUUUGGGAAUAUAUCUUCACUACCUAAGCUACGAGAGUUAGACAUUGGCCAAAACAACUUGAGAGGGCCAAUCCCGGAAACGAUAUCCAAAUUUACAAACCUUGUCCGACUUGGCCUUUCCAAUUACAAGACACAAGGUCCAGUUGACUUUAGUAUUUUCUCGCAUCUCAAGUGGCUUGAAUAUCUUGACUUAUCCUAUUUGAACAUGACCACUACGAUUGACUUGAAUGAUUUCUUGUCAUAUUAUAAGAGGCUCGAGAGGUUGGUUCUCUCAGGCAACCAUGUUACAGCCACAAACAAGAGUCCAGUUUUAAAUUCCCCUUUGUUGUAUAAGUUGCACUUGUCAGGCUGCGGUAUCACCGAGUUUCCUGAGUUUGUAAGAUCGCAAAAUAAAAUCAAAGGACAAGUGCCUGGCUGGUUAUGGACGCUACCAAAUCUUACUUACCUGAAUCUUUCCAACAACACUUUCACUGGCUUCGAAAACUCAACUACAGUUUCACCUUCAAGGCUAUAUAACAUAAACGUGCUUGCCUCAGACAACAAUUUCACGGGAAAGAUUCCCUCUUUCAUAUGUGAUUUGCCCUAUGUUAACACUCUUGAUUUAUCGAACAACAACUUCAGUGGUUUAAUCCCUCGUUGUCUGGGAAAUCUCAAGUAUUCUCUUGUACUUCUAAACCUUCGUCAGAAUCGUCUUCAUGGAGGUCUUCCAGAAAAUAUAUUUGAAAGCUUAAGAACGCUUGACAUCGGUCAUAACCAACUGACGGGAAAGCUUCCAAGAACUUUGAUUCAUUUUACUUCCAGAGCUAAAAGUUUUUGUAAUACGUACGCUCCAAUGCUUUCCAUGGACCGAUACAUCAAACUUCGUUUCCUAAUAAGUUGCAAAUCAUGGACAUAUCGCACAAUCACUUCAAUGGAGCCUUCCCAUCAGACUACUUUGUGAAGUGGAGUGCUAUGUCAUCGCUUGUGACAAAUAAUGAUCGGCCGGAUGAAAGUUAUUUGCUCAAUUAAAAUUUGGGUUUAACGAACAUCUUCCAAUUUAUAACAAAAUUCCUCUUGGAUCAACCUAUAUUUUAAUUUCUUUGAUUGUCUUUUUAAUUGAAUCCAAGAGACAUCCAACUGAUUGGUUGGUACGUUAUCCUUUGAUUUUUCAACAUUAUACUUUGCAUUUUCUCUCCUUAUUUUCAACAACUUUCUCCCGCAACGUCAGUAAGCUUCUCAGUGAGGUCCUUGAAGAACAUAGACAAGAAACCGAUAACUCGUUGUCUUAUGAGACUGAUGUUCGUCUCAAGGAUCCUGUGUUACGGUUGCAUUGGAGCCAAUAGCUUCUCUGCAGAAGAAGAUGCUUGAGCUUCAACAUGAUAUAGCCAGUUGCUCGCUCUCGACCACUUGGCCAUUCUGGAGUUAACAACAACAAAGCUGCAGUCUACUUUGAUGCCGUUCUCUGAGUUUGAUCACGAGGAGAAGAGAAGCCUCAUGCAACGUUGCUUGUAGCAGCUUUUUUGAUAAUCUUGAGAGCCUAAUAUAGAUGUUUUAUGUAUCCAAUGUUAUAUCCUUUGCUUUUCGUGAAAGCUAUGAAUUGAAGCAUGUAAUUUCCAUGUCGUGGAUUCUUCACUAUGGUUUUUUUUUUCCAUAUAUGCUAUGGUUUUUGUUUAGCGUACGAAACAAGGAAACGAAGAGUGCGAGGAGACCUUCUUCGCGCCUAUUUCUCACGAAGAACUCUCGUGUCUCUACAACCUCUUCUUCACCCUCUCCCGUAAGCUCCUCACUUCAUUCCCUCUCUCCCUCAUCAUGCCUAAAUCCAACGACGGUGACGCCGUCGCAGAAUCCGAGUCGACGACAAGUGGGUCCAAGGGUGUGAAAACGACGCCGGAUUUGCGAUUUGGCAUUGGUAUUUGAUGGAUGUGUUCGUUUACUUCUCUCACUCUCUGGUGUCUCUUCCUCCUCCUUGCUGGACCAAUACAGCUCACAGGCAUGGCGUUAAGGUAAAGAAUGCAUUCUUGUGGAUACAUUAGUUGAUUUGGAUGUGGUUUCAUUAGAUUAUUGGAUUGAUACUUUCUUGUGUGUGUGUGUUAUGGAAACGUUAAUAGGUGUUGGGGACUUUCAUUACGGAAUGGGAUGAAGGUAAAGCUACCUGCAGUGAGAUGAUUGCCACUAAGGAGUCUGCUCAGAUGUAUGCUGAGCGUUUGGCUGAGCUUUCUAAUUCUCUAGGUUUCGAUGGAUGGCUGGUGAGUUUUGUCUUUGUCAUCUUAUUAUUGUUCAUGCUUGUUCUCUCCAGGUGGUGGUCACUUGUUGAGAAGUCAUGGGGAAUAGUCCAAACAUAUCCACAAGUCUUGCCUUUUUACUCUGACUUCAAUCAGGUAAAGUAUACAUCGACUGUCUUGGCUAUGAUUUAUGUUAAGUUAUCUUUUCUCGUUAAUCCAGGGCUUUGGUUACCAUGUUUCACUCGAGGGUCGCCAGUUAUCUGAUGCUCCAUGGUACAACAUUUCUUGCCAAAGUCUUCAGUUUCAACCAUCUUAUCGUCUUUGCUUUAACUGCACAUAUAAUAUUUUGUCUCUUCUCUCAUCUGAUGGGUGCCUUUGUUGUGUUAUUAAUGUUAGCCAAUCCUAGAGUUCAAGGAAGACAACACUGAUAUCAUUCAGCUCACUAUUGAGUGAGUUCUGACCCUGAUACUAAAAAAUGUUUUUGACUUCUUGUUGAUUUAGAUGCAUUUGUUUGCAAACGUAUAACGGUAAGCACAUGAAUUUGUUUAGUGCUCGAGAGGCAUCUUAUAACGGAGGAGGGAACAUUGUAUUUAAAGGAAGACUCGAAGGAGAUGUGUAUUUCACAGCAAGGCUCUUUAAACCUCUCCUUCACCUUUCUUCUUCCCCCAUCACAGUCUCCUACUCUGUAAGUCUUUGUUUUUAGAUACAUCACAUUACGAGAUCUUCUUGUUUUCUUUCUACUAAUGGAAAAUCUUGGAUUUGGUGCAGGUGAAAUCAGAUGAGACUUCUAAACUUGGACUCCUGCUUGGGUUUUCAUCACCAUCGCACCAAACUAAAUCCAUACUUGUGGCGCCACAAGAAACAACCCUAAGAUUAGAUCACAUGUUCUUGAAAUGCCUCGUCGCAUCAAAGCAGACUGUAUCCGAGUGGACGGUACACGAGACAAGCCUUGCCAUGGAUGGCUACACACUGACUGAAAUCUCUGCCUUUUGCUACAGAACAGAGAACUCGACGAAGACAUCAGAGUACGUUGCAUUGCUCGGUCACAUCUCAAUCAAAGAUCAUCAUGUUCAGCUACUCCAGCAAAACCUCGUUUCCUUACCUCCAGCGUCAUCAUGGGUCAUCGAGGCUCAUAGCAUAGAGCUUGUACCGGGUGAUUCCGGUUCUAAGAUCCUUAAGGUUAAGCUAGAAUGGAGACAGACACAGCUUGAAGACUCUGUUCUCCCAGUGUACAAUGUGUAUGCAGAGAGUGUGAAGUCAACUGAUGUACUAAGAUCGAGGAAGGUUUUGGAGAAACCAAGAAGCGAGAGAGUGUUCCUAGGAGUGUCUCACGUACCAGCCUAUUACGUUUCGGAGCUGGUGGUAGAUUCUGACGUGAAAGGAGUCAGCUUCGUGGUUCAACCGUGUGGUGAAGAUGGUUCAUGGAGUAAGCUGGAUGAUUCCCCUAACCUUCUUGUGGACUUGGAAGGUCUCUCGUAGGUUGCUUGAAACUAUAUAUGAAACGAUUAAUAAUGUAUAUUACAAAAUGACAUUAAUCUUGAAAAUGGGGGAAAACAUAAUAAAAAAAUCUGAACGAGCCUCUUCCGCAUGGAAGUUUUGGUUUCUCAUCACUAGUUGUCUCUUCUCUGUAUAUUUUAUCUAAUGAAAGUGAGAUGAUUAUCACCAAAACUUGUUAUUAUUGACGUGAGAAAGAAAAAAAUGCGGAAACUGAUUGGGUCAUCAACAUUUAUUUAUUUGUUUUUGGUUACUACAGCCAUAUAUUGAAAAAACAAGAAAGAGAUCGAGUAAAAUCUUGGUUUCUUCCUGACGAUCUCGCCCUGAGGAAUAUUAGUUGAAGAAUGUACUCACUAUGAUAUGGGCCAUAUGGCUCGAUCGCCAGUACAUUCACGACGAAGAGUUGAUUCUUCUGUCACGAAGAAUGUUCUCAUGCAGAUUGAUAUUUUUGUUCUUUUUGAUUGAUUUUUAGUAAAGAGUUUAUUCUUUUUGUCAUUUUGCAUAUAUUUCUCAUUUUGGAAGUCACGAGGAAUAAACUAAAAAUAAAAAUAAGACCGUUCGCCGUUGAUUUUUCUUGAAAAGGUUGAUGUUUGUUUUCUUCUUAUUAAUAUAGGAGAUUCAUGAUUCUUAUUUUGAAAUUCUAUCAAAAUUAAGCUAGUUUAGUAGUUAAAUUAGUUCUUUUUUUAAAGCAAGGAAUGUCAUAAAAUUUGAAUUUUUAAAUAGAAUAAGUAAAAAAGAUAAAACUUGUACUAUCAAAUCGAAAGACUACAGUAUAUGCAAAUAUGCAUGGGUCUCGUAAUCGUAAACGUUAGUACUUUUGGGUCAAUAUGCAUGGGUCGUUAGUAUACGUUAGUUUAAAUCCAAAUAUAAACCUAAGCAAAAUAAUACUUUAUAAAUUACGUCUUCUUUGGUUUAGAAAAUUCUUUUUUUUUUUUUUUGAAAAUUCAUGUAAUUAGGGUAGGGGACCAAUAUGUGUAGAAAAUUGACUAUCCGACACAAAGAUUUUGCUUUCGACGUGACGAAUAAUGUAUUUUUCUCUGUGGAUUUUGUUUUGUGUGGAGUAAAUACAGAGUCUGUUAUUGUGUAUAUAAAGAAAUGGCCAUGGAAGCAUGUAACUCAUCACCAAUUUCCCUUUUCUUUUUGCUCUUUCAGUUUUUGAUAUUCAAGAAAGUUAAAUAAGCUUAAAGAAGAAUGAAAGGCUUUUGGAACUUAACGAGUACCAUUUCUCUUACUCUUUCUAUACUUUUUUUAUUCGGCUACAGUUAUGAAGACGUGGCUGCGGUUCCAACUAAGCACUUGUGUCGUCCAGAUCAAAGGGAUGCACUUCUUCAGUUCAAGAACGAGUUUGAGGUUUUAAACUCUUCCUUAAAUUAUUAUUGUAUUAUCAAUAUAACUAUAGUAAAGCGCCUUCGGAAGACAGAGUCGUGGAUGAAUAACAGCGACUGCUGUAAUUGGGAGGGUAUCACGUGCAACCCCAAUUCCGGUGAAGUGAUCGAGCUAAACCUUAGUUGCAGCAACCUACGUGGCAAGUUUCAUUCUAAAAGCAGUCUUCGAAACCUUCAUUCUCUAACGACUCUACUCCUUUCAAAUAAUGAAUUUAGUGGUCCAAUCAUGUCUUUAAUUGGAAACCUUUCUCAUCUCACGUCUCAGGACCUUUCGCGAAAUGGUUUGAGCGAGUUCAUUCCUUCUUCGAUAGUAGACCUUUCUUAUCUCACCUUUCUCGAUCUUUCAUCUAAUAGUUUUUCUGGUCCGAUUUCGUCUUUGAUUGGAAACCUUUCUUAUCUCACCUUUCUCGAUCUUUCAUCUAAUAGUUUUUCUGGUCCGAUUCCAUCUUCAAUUGGAAAUCUUUCUCAUCUCACCUAUCUUAACCUUAAAGAUAGUGAAAUUUCGGGUACGAUUCCAUCUUCUAUUGGAAAUCUUUAUAACCUCACUUAUCUUGACCUUUCUUACAACAAUAUUGUUGGAGAAAUCCCAUCUUCUUUUGGCAAUCUAAACCAGUUGACCAGCUUAUCUGUUGGUCUCAAUAGGCUAAAUGGACGCUUUCCCAUUGCAAUACUAAAUUUGACAAAGUUGUCAUCUUUAGGACUCUAUGACAAUCAGUUCACAGGAACAAUUCCUCAUAACAUCACUUCACUAUCCAAAUUGACGACCUUUGAUGGAAGUAACAACGCUUUCACUGGGACCCUGCCUUCUUCUUUCUUCACCAUUCCUUCUAUGUAUAGUGUUGAUUUGUCUGAUAAUCAAUUCAACGGUAUUCUUGACCUUGGGAAUAUAUCUUCACCACCUCAGCUAGGACUGUUAUACGUUGGCAAUAACAACUUGAGAGGGCCAAUCCCAGCCACGAUAUCAAAAUUUACCAACCUUGUCGAACUUGAGCUUUCCCAUUACAAGACACAAGGUCCAGUUGACUUUAGUAUCUUCUCGCAUCUCAAGUUGCUCCAAGAUCUUGACCUAUCCUAUUUGAACACAACCACUGCCAUUGACUUGAAUGAUUUCUUGUCAUAUUUUAAGCGCCUCGGUGUGUUGGUUCUCUCAGGCAACCAUGUUACAGCCACAAACAAGAGUCCAGUUCCCGUUUCCCCUUUGUUGCAUCAGUUGCACUUGUCGGGCUGCGGUAUCACCAAGCUUCCGGAGUUUGUAAGAUUGAAAAAUUUGGAGAGUCUAGACAUUUCCAACAAUAAAAUCAAAGGGCAAGUGCCUGGCUGGUUAUGGACACUACCAAAGCUGAGUUACCUGGAUCUUUCUAACAACACUUUCACUGGCUUCAAAAGCUCAACGAAACAUGGACUAUCUUUAAAAUAUUUGUUAGCCUCUGACAACAAUUUCACAGGAGAGAUUCCCUCAUUCAUAUGCGAUCUGCGUGGUUUAUUCAUUCUUGAUUUAUCAAACAACAACUUCAGUGGUGUAAUCCCUCCUUGUAUGGAAAAUCUCUAUCUGGCAGUUCUAAAUAACAGCGACUGCUGUAAUUGGGAGGGUAUCACGUGCAACCCCAAUUCCGGUGAAGUGAUCGAGCUAAACCUUAGUUGCAGCAACCUACGUGGCAAGUUUCAUUCUAAAAGCAGUCUUCGAAACCUUCAUUCUCUAACGACUCUACUCCUUUCAAAUAAUGAAUUUAGUGGUCCAAUCAUGUCUUUAAUUGGAAACCUUUCUCAUCUCACCUCUCUGGACCUUUCGCGAAAUGGUUUCAGCGAGUUCAUUCCUUCUUCGAUAGUAGACCUUUCUUAUCUCACCUUUCUCGAUCUUUCAUCUAAUAGUUUUUCUGGUCCGAUUUCGUCUUUGAUUGGAAACCUUUCUUAUCUCACCUUUCUCGAUCUUUCAUCUAAUAGUUUUUCUGGUCCGAUUCCAUCUUCAAUUGGAAAUCUUUCUCAUCUCACCUAUCUUAACCUUAAAGAUAGUGAAAUUUCGGGUACGAUUCCAUCUUCUAUUGGAAAUCUUUAUAACCUCACUUAUCUUGACCUUUCUUACAACAAUAUUGUUGGAGAAAUCCCAUCUUCUUUUGGCAAUCUAAACCAGUUGACCAGCUUAUCUGUUGGUCUCAAUAGGCUAAAUGGACGCUUUCCCAUUGCAAUACUAAAUUUGACAAAGUUGUCAUCUUUAGGACUCUAUGACAAUCAGUUCACAGGAACAAUUCCUCAUAACAUCACUUCACUAUCCAAAUUGACGACCUUUGAUGGAAGUAACAACGCUUUCACUGGGACCCUGCCUUCUUCUUUCUUCACCAUUCCUUCUAUGUAUAGUGUUGAUUUGUCUGAUAAUCAAUUCAACGGUAUUCUUGACCUUGGGAAUAUAUCUUCACCACCUCAGCUAGGACUGUUAUACGUUGGCAAUAACAACUUGAGAGGGCCAAUCCCAGCCACGAUAUCAAAAUUUACCAACCUUGUCGAACUUGAGCUUUCCCAUUACAAGACACAAGGUCCAGUUGACUUUAGUAUCUUCUCGCAUCUCAAGUUGCUCCAAGAUCUUGACCUAUCCUAUUUGAACACAACCACUGCCAUUGACUUGAAUGAUUUCUUGUCAUAUUUUAAGCGCCUCGGUGUGUUGGUUCUCUCAGGCAACCAUGUUACAGCCACAAACAAGAGUCCAGUUCCCGUUUCCCCUUUGUUGCAUCAGUUGCACUUGUCGGGCUGCGGUAUCACCAAGCUUCCGGAGUUUGUAAGAUUGAAAAAUUUGGAGAGUCUAGACAUUUCCAACAAUAAAAUCAAAGGGCAAGUGCCUGGCUGGUUAUGGACACUACCAAAGCUGAGUUACCUGGAUCUUUCUAACAACACUUUCACUGGCUUCAAAAGCUCAACGAAACAUGGACUAUCUUUAAAAUAUUUGUUAGCCUCUGACAACAAUUUCACAGGAGAGAUUCCCUCAUUCAUAUGCGAUCUGCGUGGUUUAUUCAUUCUUGAUUUAUCAAACAACAACUUCAGUGGUGUAAUCCCUCCUUGUAUGGAAAAUCUCUAUCUGGCAGUUCUAAACCUUCGUCAAAAUCGUCUCCAUGGAGGUCUUCCAGAGAAUAUAUGUGAAUUCUCAACAAUGCUUGAUGUCGGUCAUAACAAACUGACAGGGAAGCUUCCAAAAUCUUUGAUCAAUUCCUCUAGUCUUGAAGUUCUGAACGUGGAAAGCAACAUUAUCAAUGAUACGUUUCCAUUUUGGUUGAGUUCUCUACCACAACUAAAAAUUCUUGUAUUACGCUCUAAUGCCUUCCAUGGACCGGUACAUCAUACUUCGUUCCCUAAAUUGCAAAUCGUCGACAUAUCGCACAAUCACUUCAAUGGAUCUUUGCCAUCAGACUACUUUGUGAAGUGGAGUGCUAUGUUAUCAUUGGGGAAGAAUUAUAAUCAGUGGGAUGACAAGUACAUGGGGGAAUCCUAUUACCAUGAUUCAAUGGUGUUGAUGAACAAAGGUUUAGAGAUGGAGCUAGUACGUAUCCUUAAAAUCUACACAGCACUCGACUUUUCAGGAAACAAAUUUGAAGGAGAGAUCCCAAGGUCCAUCGGUCUAUUAAAAGAGCUUCAUGUGCUCAACUUGUCGAACAAUGCUUUCACUGGCCACAUCCCUUCAUCUAUGGGAAACCUGACAGCUCUUGAGUCACUGGACGUUUCCCAAAACCAGCUUUCAGGAGAAAUUCCGCAAGAGCUAGGGAGCCUCUCAUUCCUUUCGUACAUGAACUUCUCUCAUAACCAGCUUACAGGUCUAGUACCCGGAGGCACUCAGUUUCGAAGGCUGAACUGCUCUUCAUUUGAAGAUAACAAGGGACUUUUAGGCCUAAAGGGGUCUUGUUUUCUCCAUGUCCACACUCUCUUGUUUCUAAUUCAACCUUUGAUUGUUUGAUUAAAUAUGUAUAAUCUAAAUUAACAAUAAUUAAAUAUAUAUAUACUCAACUAAAAUUUGGGUUUAACGAUCAUUAUCCAUUUUAUAAGAAAAUUCCUCUUGGAUCUUUCUUUUUAUAUUUUUCUUGACUGACUUUUUAAUCGAAUCCAAGUCUUGCUUCUCUUUGUUUUGAAGUCCACUUUGGUGUCCACGAUCUCAAAAAAGAAACAGCCAACUGAUUGGUCACUUUCACAAUCCCUCUGGUACGUUAUCCUUUGAUUUUUCAACAUUAUACUUAAAGCUCAAUACCAAAAUCUCAAAGAUAAGCCACUACAUGAUCAUGAUGUGUGUGACCUACGAGCUUGGACUCGAACCCACGAGCCAAUCAUGUAAGUAGCAAUGAAAAGAUCAAGCCAACACAAAUGAUGAAUAGGCCCAUGCCUUGCCCCCAUUCUGUUCCCUUCUUAAUUAAUCUACAGAAACAAUCUUCUUCAGAAGAAGAUGCGUGAGCUUCAACACGAUAAAGAUUGAUGCAAAGUCAUAUAAGGAAACAGCCAAAUCAAUAGCUUGGUGGGUUUGUCUUCCAAAAGUAAAUUAUGGAAGAACAUGAAUGUCUCUGAUGUACAUUGUCCUGGAAAGAGAACUCUGAGACCUGAUUACGCAAAAAACUAAUUGCUGAUCACAAAAAAAAAGGAGAAACGAACGCUACUGGAAACUGCAAGCAUUGAUACACAAACGAUAAUACAUUAAACACUUGACAAAAGUACAUGUUGAUAUGUCUGUCAGAUUACUACAAGAGUUUCUUUCACCAAUCUGCUUUGCUACCAAUGUACCCUAAAUAAGAUAAGUAAACACAAAAAAAAAAGCAUUACUCUAACUUGAAACCUAGUGAGUAAGAAUAAUAACAGUUUCUCCAAUCUCCAUGAGCUGAGCUCUCAGAUCCAACCAUUGCUCUACCACAGUAUAGCUUCUCCACAAAUCUAAUCUCUACAACUUCUUCCCUGUACAACAACAACAGCACAAUUCAAGUUUUCAGUAACUCAAUUGAGUAGAUGCUCAAAGUUAUGGUUCCAAAUCAAUAAUCUGAAGCCUCACAAGCUAACAUAAAGUUUCAAUCUUCAAAAUCAUAUAAAAAUGAAACAUUUACCAUAUAUUCACAAUUUGCAUAUUACCAGAGACAAAAAAAGUUUAUAUAUCUUUACCUGAAGCAGCAACAGCUCUACGUUUGCCAAGCUUGGAUCUUUCAAGCUCCAUCUGCAUAUCCAUCAACAUGUUCAUCCGUUGCAACUCAAGCUCCUUAGCAGCUUCCAUCCUCUGCUUCUCCAACUCAACCAUCAUCCUCUGCUUCGCACCUUCCAUCCUCUCGUACACCUCCCCCAACUUCAAAAUCGCUCUCGCCAGCUCCCUACACGACGACCCUUCCCCUCCACUCGGAUCCACCUCCUCAACUCUCCUAUGCUUCCUCACCACAAACCCCCAAUCUCCCACCUCAUCAUCAUCAUCGUCCAGAGAGCUUCCACUCGAUUUAGAUCCGGUUUGAUUCAAAGUAUGAUUCUUUAACGCCGGUGUCACAACUCCGGUAGAUUUCUUCGCCGCGACGGGACCGAUCAAGAAAUUGAGCCUCUCGAAGAAGCACCAAGAGGACGGAGACGGUCCAUCGGUCUAUUAAAAGAGCUUCAUGUGCUCAACUUGUCGAACAAUGCUUUCACUGGCCACAUCCCUUCAUCUAUGGGAAACCUGACAGCUCUUGAGUCACUGGACGUUUCCCAAAACCAGCUUUCAGGAGAAAUUCCGCAAGAGCUAGGGAGCCUCUCAUUCCUUUCGUACAUGAACUUCUCUCAUAACCAGCUUACAGGUCUAGUACCCGGAGGCACUCAGUUUCGAAGGCUGAACUGCUCUUCAUUUGAAGAUAACAAGGGACUUUUUGGCCCUUCUCUUGAAGAAAUUUGCAGAGAUAUUCACACGCCAACACCGCAUGAAACGUUGGAGUCAGAGGAAGAAGAAGAAGAGGAAGAGGUGUUGAGUUGGAUAGCAGCUGUAAUAGGAGUCAUACCUGGUUUUGCCUUUGGAUGGGUCAUUGGAUACAUACUUUUUUCCUGCAAACCAGAGUGGUUCUUCAUGAACCCUUUUGUCCGAAACAAACGCACACGCAACCGCACCACAACUCAUUAAAGAGGU
rnacentral:lncRNA from 1 species